GAUGAAGCGUUGAAUUGAAGCCCGAGUAAACGGCGGCCGUAACUAUAACGGUCCUAAGGUAGCGAAAUUCCUUGUCGGUUAAAUACCGACCUGCAUGAAUGGCGUAACGAGAUGGGAGCUGUCUCAACCAGAGAUUCAGUGAAAUUGUAGUGGAGGUGAAAAUUCCUCCUACCCGCGGCAAGACGGAAAGACCCCGUGGACCUUUACUACAAC
rnacentral:rRNA from 1 species